AGGAAACUAUUCGUCACACAGAUGUCAAGGCAAGUUUGAUCGUGUGCAAGAAGAGCUCACCCUGCACCCAAUAGGUUUACCAGGGCCCCGCCCUGCAGCCAGUCCUUCAGAAGAGUCACGCUGCUAGCGAUCGAUGUAGCAAUUCUGUACUGUACAGGACGGACGGCAUGGAGGAGAUCGACAAUGAUGAACAGCGUUAUAGCGAGGGACCACUGUAAUUUUGAAGGUUCAUUUUACAAAUCAACCCUGAGGGAACCAAAUGCACAAAUGCACAACCAAAUGGAGCCAAUGAGGAGACACCAAUACAGGAGAAAUCUGCUCUCUCCUUCUAGUCCCUGUCAGGAUUCUUACUGCAGCAUUUUGGAUUAACUGUGUCAUGGUCCUGAGUCUGGUGAUUCAGUGUUUAUGUUUUUGAUUAUUAAUAUCAUUGAUUCAGUUAGUUUCUGGUUAUAUUUUAGUGAUUUUUAGAUCUCAGGUUUUGUUACUGUGUUCCAUGUUUCACGUCGAGUCCGUUAUGUUUUCUCGUCUGUUCUUUCCUGGUUUCUGUUCGUGCAUCUCCUGUCAGUCAGUCAGUCAGUCAGUCAGUCAGUCGGGUCUCCUUUGCGUCUCCAUGCCUGUCUUGUGUUUCCUCUUUUACUUUGACAGUCUCGUGUCAUGUAUUCAGUGUUUUCAGUUUUGCUUCCGCCCUGUCUGGUUUUGUCAAAUUAGUCCCAGCUGUGUUUCCCUCUUGUUUCCCAUUCCCUUGUUACUCCCUGGUGUAUUUAAGCCCUGUGUUUUCCUCUGUCCGUUAUCGUGUCGUUAUGCUUUCAGUGCUGUAUGUUUUCGAUGUGCUCCUGGUGUCUGUUGUUGUUUUUCGUCAGCUCCUAGUCUCUAGUUUUUUCCUUUUUGUAGUUUUCUAGUUU